rnacentral:rRNA from 1 species
GUGUCAGCAGCCGCGGUAAUACGUAGGGUGCAAGCGUUGUCCGGAUUUAUUGGGCGUAAAGAGCUCGUAGGCGGCCUGUCACGUCGGAUGUGAAAACCCGGGGCUCAACCCCGGGCCUGCAUUCGAUACGGGCAGGCUAGAGGAUGGCAGGGGAGACUGGAACUCCUGGUGUAGCGGUGAAAUGCGCAGAUAUCAGGAAGAACACCGGUGGCGAAGGCGGGUCUCUGGGCCAUUCCUGACGCUGAGGAGCGAAAGCGUGGGGAGCAAACAGGAUUAGAUACCCUGGUAGUCCACGCCGUAAACGUUGGGCGCUAGGUGUGGGGAACCUUCCACGUUCUCUGUGCCGUAGCUAACGCAUUAAGCGCCCCGCCUGGGGAGUACGGCCGCAAGGCUAAA